rnacentral:rRNA from 1 species
UAGAUGCGAGAGUAGAGCAUAUCAAUAAGCGGAGGAAAAGAAACUAACAAGGAUUCCCCUAGUAACGGCGAGUGAAGCGGGAAGAGCUCAAAUUUGAAAUCUUAAAGGGUUUCCCUUUACGAAUUGUAGUUUAAAGAAGUGUUUUCUGUUGGAGUUUCGGUAAAAGUUCUUUGGAAUAGGACAUCAUAGAGGGUGAGAAUCCCGUAUUUGACCGUUACUUUCCAACUUUGUGAUACACUUUCAAAGAGUCGGAUUGUUUGGGAAUGCAGUCCAAAAUGGGUGGUAAAUUUCAUCUAAAGCUAAAUACUGGCGAGAGACCGAUAGCGAACAAGUACCGUGAGGGAAAGAUGAAAAGAACUUUGAAAAGAGAGUUAAACAGUACGUGUAAUUGUCAAAAGGGAAGCGUUUGACACCAGUGUUGUUUUCUCGAAAACCAAUUAAAAAUGACCGGAUUUUGUGUUGUAUUGACUUUAUCAGCUUUCUGCACUUUUUUCUUGUCUUAUUUAAUGCACUUUUCGUUUAACAAGUCAACAUCAAUUUCUUUUGUUGUAAAAGAGUCGUUGGAAGGUGGCUUUCAUUUCGGUGAAAGUGUUUAUAGCCUUUGACUUCUGCAAUCGGAGAGAUUGAGGUCUGCAGCGUAGAUCCUUCGGGGUUAGAUAGCAUUUGUGCUAAGUUAUAGCCUUUUCAUAGACAACUUGUUGACUAUGCUUAGUCAUUGUAGCUUACUCGCUUGUGCUAUUUUACCUACGCUUAGGAUGUUGACGAGACUGUCGAUCUC